rnacentral:rRNA from 1 species
UACGUAGGGGGCAAGCGUUGUCCGGAUUUAUUGGGCGUAAAGAGCGUGUAGGCGGUCAGGUAGGUCGGUUGUGAAAACUCGAGGCUCAACCUCGAGAUGUCGGCGGAAACCACUUGGCUAGAGUCCGGAAGAGGAGAGUGGAAUUCCCGGUGUAGCGGUGAAAUGCGCAGAUAUCGGGAAGAACACCUAUGGCGAAGGCAGCUCUCUGGGACGGUACUGACGCUGAGGCGCGAAAGCGUGGGGAGCGAACAGG